rnacentral:rRNA from 1 species
UCCUACGGGAGGCAGCAGUGAGGAAUAUUGCACAAUGGGGGAAACCCUGAUGCAGCGACGCCGCGUGAGUGAUGAAGUAUUUCGGUAUGUAAAGCUCUAUCAGCAGGGAAGAUAAUGACGGUACCUGACUAAGAAGCUCCGACUAAAUACGUGCCAGCAGCCGCGGUAAUACGUAGGGGGCAAGCGUUAUCCGGAUUUACUGGGUGUAAAGGGAGCGCAGACGGCAGUGCAAGUCUGGAGUGAAAGCCCGGGGCCCAACCCCGGAACUGCUCUGGAAACUGUGCGGCUAGAGUACUGGAGGGGCA